rnacentral:rRNA from 1 species
AUACGUAGGGUGCGAGCGUUGUCCGGAAUUACUGGGCGUAAAGAGCUCGUAGGUGGUUUGUCGCGUCGUCUGUGAAAUUCCGGGGCCUAACUCCGGGCGUGCAGGCGAUACGGGCAUAACUUGAGUACUGUAGGGGAGACUGGAAUUCCUGGUGUAGCGGUGAAAUGCGCAGAUAUCAGGAGGAACACCGGUGGCGAAGGCGGGUCUCUGGGCAGUAACUGACGCUGAGGAGCGAAAGCAUGGGUAGCGAACAGGAUUAGAUACCCUGGUAGUCCAUGCCGUAAACGGUGGGCGCUAGGUGUAGGGGUCUUCCACGACUUCUGUGCCGUAGCUAACGCAUUAAGCGCCCCGCCUGGGGAGUACGGCCGCAAGGCUAAAACUCAAAUGAAUUGGCGGGG